UCUCUCUCUCUCUCCUCUCUCUCUCUCUCUCUCUCUCUCUCUCUCUCUCGUCUCCGGGGCGUGUUUCUUCGCCGUGGCGAUUACUCCGCCGCCAAUUUAUUUACGGCAACUACUCCAGCGCGGUAAUCACUCAUUCAAUUACCAUCACCUAUCGGCUUUAUGGUUUUUCCGGGAAGGCGUAUCAACGCUCUCGUUCUUUGAGACACAAACGAGCCGCCGGGAACAGCUUCGCGCCUCCGCUUUCAUCUUCCGCCUAAGAUUCAUCAUCGGCUGUACUACUCUCGCUGCCAACGAUGUUCCGCGAACGAUGUUAUCGCGAUCGCGUAUUCUACACGCGAUAUUAAAUACGCCGACGUGUACGCGAUUUAAUAGAUAUACGGAUUACAUGUGCAAUUUUAUAUUCAUGUCUCUCACAGCAAAUACAAUCUGCGUUUAAUAGGGCGCGGGGGGGGGGGGGGUUAGCGGAUGCGAAAAAUGGGUGGGAAACAAUCUUUUUGGUGGGAAAUUAAAGGGCAGGGUAAUUGAUCUCGUGGGGAAUCGAUAUUAUAAAUCGCGUUGCGCAAUAAUAUUAUAGUACCUCCUCCUUCUCUUCGUUUCUUUGUUUAUCAUUACUUAGCGCAAUCUCUACUUCGCACUAUCUUAGAUCUCCGAUCCCGACGCAGCUUUAAUAAAUACAACUCUGACGUUUCGAACGUUCACCUCACUGUCAUUCCCUUGAGUAAUUUCUUCCUGUUGAUCGUAGAUAAAGAAGCGAUCGGUUCAUACGGAACCAGCAGGUUGCCAGCCCGUGUUUUGACCGGGUUGAUAGUCACCAGAUAACCAGCUAGAAUGAGACGUUACAAUGAUAGGCCGCUCGAAGCCACGGGGGAACGAGCUAUGAAUGCGCGUAUUAUGACUAAAGUUUCUGUUUCUGUCCGAUGUCGGAUAUGUCUUGUCUACUGAACGACGCGUACGACGCGAGUUCGAUAUUGAAGUUGUAAUAAAAAGGACACGCAUUCUAAAUGUUUUGCCAGUUCUGGAAAUUUUGCAAAGUUUAAACUAUAUUUAUUGUCGCAAUAAAAUACCUCUGAAAGCUAUAAACAGCUAAAACACGAACUAUACUGAAUUGAAGGCGAGGAUAUAAAAAAAUAGAUGAGCACGAACUUAUCUUGAUAUUUAAAAUACAAGAUAACAUAAUACAAAUUAAAACACCAUCAAGGUGCGAAAUAAGUAACUGUCAUAUAUUUAACAGGGUUGCAAUUACUUUUUUUUAGUAACGGACUGAUAAUGGAGUUACUUUUCUUAUGUAGUAACUAUAAUGGUAACAAAUUUAACAAUUACUUUUAUCGUUGCUUUAUACGUUUUAAAUCCACCUAUUUGUGACUAUUGUGUAUUGAAUUCUCAAUUCUGUUCUCAGCUGAUAUUCUGUUAUUAUGUUAAACCAUUUUAAUAUAUAGUUUAGUAUAGUUACAAAAAAUUAUAUAAACUAAUUAUAUUGCAGCAUAUGUUUUAUGAGCAAUUCUGAGUUUAAAAUUAACAUGUUGGAAUUUUUAAAUACAAAACGCAGAAAAGUACAAAUUUCGCUGUAUUUAAUAAAUUAAAUAAAAAGUUUUAAUUUGCAUUUUGUAAAAUAAAAAUUUACAACUCUCUAAACUUUUUGUAGUCUUUCGCAAAUUUAAGAUAAAACCAGUAAUAUUGUUGCCGUAAAUAUUUUAUUAAAUAUAAAAUAUUAAAACAGUAAAUUUUACGUUUAAUUUGUUUUUGUUUUAGCGCUAAAAGAAGUAAUGAAGAAAGUAGUUAAAAUUCCUUUUAAAAAGUAACAUUCUCAACCCUGAAAUUCUUUUCAGGCUCUGUUUUGUGCUGGCAAAUCUCGCAAUUUUCGCGUUUAAAUUAAAAGCACAUGGAGAGGCGUGUCGCAAGGUAGAUUAGGCGCAAAGAUGUAUGCGCGAUAUAAACGCGAACGAAUAUUUUCGUGCACAAUGCGCGCUUUCGCGCAUUCGUCAUGCCGCGGUAGUUACGCUCACGCCUUCAGCCCGCAUGACGAGGAUGAGCAGCGCGACGGUCAUAGAUCACCCGUGCAUUUAAUAGCAUCAAGAUUCUCGGUAACUCGGCGAAUUUCAAUUUCUCGAGCUACUUUCGCGCGACUGCCAACCCAAAGUCCAUUCCCAGCCAUCGCGGGCGCGCAUCGCUGAUUUUCGUAGAUAUCAUCAAACAGCGUCGCCGCCGCCGCCGCGGCGAUACGUAAAUUACAGCUCAUUUCUGGCAGGCCGGUCAUGCGAACGAAGUAGCAGCAGUAGUAGUAGUAGUAGUAGUAGUAGUAGUAGCCGGCUUACGCUUCCCCGCUGUCGCCCCACGGACACCGUCCUCUCCUCCAAGAGCGCGUUUCACGCAUUAAUGUCGCGGCACACGCACGCACGCUGGAUGGAUCCUAGCGGGGCACAGCUCGUCCAUUUCCUGCUAAUUAAAUUAGCGUAUCGGCCACCGUCCAGUGUCGUGAGCGACCCGAGAGCCGCGUUUCUCUCUCGUGAGUUUAACGACCCCGUCCUUCUGCUCCCUCCGCCGCCCCUCUCUUCGUCUUCAUCAGUCGACGCCGCCAAUUCCCAGGAGUCUCGUAUCGGUCGCGACCGUUGUUCUCAUUAGGAUAAAACAUACGAGUCGAGGCGGUUAACCGAAUUACCCGACUCGCGUUACCUCGGACUGGGUACCCGCGAACAUCCCGGGGCAUUCGAGCGCAUCGGCACAUAUUUCGAAUCAUCGAGGAAUUAUUAAAGAUUUUUUUUUUUUUACACAACAUUUUUCCGAAUUAUUCGGAACCCUCUGCAUAGCAAUUGUACAUUAAUUUCCAGGAUAUUCAAAGCAUACCAGAUUUAUCUCACGCCGACUUUAUAACAUAAUAAAAAUAUAUCUUCAGGUUUCCAACGACUUAUCAAACAAGGUCAUCAUGCAACGUGAAACAUAAAACGUUGCCGAGGAGAAUUAAUAUAAGAAACAGGUUGUAGCUGCAAAUUAUGCAGCGGAGGGUAAAUAUGAUGAAAAUCUUAAUAGUGUCCCGUAGCUAUUCGCACAAUAUUUCUGAAUAGAAAUGCGUGUAUUUAAAUGAAGUAGGACAUUGCAUAUUGAUUAAAAACUCGUGAAUUCUGAUCUCUGCCAGAAUAGAUUGAUGCCCGUUAGGGUACGCAUAUAUACAUAAAAUGGAAUUUAUUAAAAUUACAUGUAUCCGAGUUGUUAAUCCAAUCAAUGUAUUCGGCUAUAAUCAUGAUGUAACGUUAAUAACGAUAUUUUCCCUCUGUCUAUCCCUCUCUCUCUCUCUCUCCUCAUUCUAACACCACAAUCUCGCGCGUAGCCACUCGAAACUGUUCAGAAAUUUUCCACGGCGCAAUUGCACUGCCUACCUUCGAGCGAUAUACUUCUCGCCGCGCGAUUAAGACCCGUAGCUGAUUAAAGCGGCAAAAUCCUCUCGUAUCGUUCGCGGAAUAUACGCAAAAGCGAUCAUUAGCGUCGAUGGGCAUAUCGAUUAUGCGCGAUCGGAAUCUCGGUGCGGUGAGCGCGGAGGCACUCGAACGGUGGCGAACGUUGCGAUUGGUAUGUGCUCAUCUAAUUACGAACGGUAUAAACGGGCGAGCCGUACGAUACGUCGUCGACGGACACAUCACCGCCGCUGCCCAGAGGCGGACAAUUGGAAGGAUUGUUUCCAAGAAGGCUUCGUGUACGUAAUUGCCGAGGCGUGCGCGUUUACGAGGCGUACACGCGCGCGCGCGCGCGCGAGACAUCGUACGGGAGCGAUCGGUAAUGAGGAAACGAUUAAAAUAAUCAACAUAGCGAGCCAUUAAAGUAUUACGGAGAUCGCUCGUAUCGCGCAAAUUGGAUAUAGACAUAUCGCGGACGCAUGCAUGAAAAACCCGGAACCGACGAUCUCUUUCCAUCCGCAUUAUAUUACCUGUGCUAAUAAUUUCUUCACGCAACUGCCUUCUCGGAUCUGUAUACGAAAGUAACUGAAAACAAAGGUUAUAAUAAUCCAGCUUUGAUCAAAGUUAUCCAAAAUCUUAGUGAAAUAGAUUCAACUGAACGUAAGGUUUAUAAUUAUUAUCGUUACUGCAUUUGUUCAUUAGCAACUAAAUAUUUUAAAUAAUAUCAUUGUGUCACUAAAUCCACCUCACGGCAUUAUCAAGGAUUUUUUUCAAUGUAUUUGAAGAAAAUAAACACAAGUUAAAAAACGCAUUGAUUUUUAUUUACGGCACAAAUUACGGUUAUGGAUAUUGGUACAGAUUUUCGGCCGAUCGUUUCGUUCCGCUCUAACGUUACGAAAUUUGAUAUUCAUUGGAAAUUGAAUAUUCAUCGACAGCUCGAGAGCCGCGGUAAGAUAUAGUUUGUUCAAGUGGUACGUAGCAUGUAUAUUAUAAGAACGAAUAACAUUUCUGUAAAAUGUAUAAUUUGUGUUAAAAGAUAACGUGAUGCAAAUUGCGCAAAUUCGUGGUUUAUUUCGAUGAAUUGUUGUAAGAGGAAAAUUUCUCUUUUCGAUAUAUGAGUUUCAUCAAGUUUUUACGAUGAUGCACCACGACUUUCGAAUUACAAUUCACGUAGUCCCAUACUGGAACGACGUUAUCCAAGGUCAGGAUCGGCAUGAAUUACGUUUACAAAGCGUCACCGGUAGCGUUGUAUACGUAAUGGCACUUUGUCAGUUAUACGCCGGAAGUUACCAACUAAGGAAAACUCGGCGCAUUAGUUGAAUGUAAUGGGACGAGGCAACGAUAUAUUUAUGGCAACGUCGCGCGAGGCGAGUGAAUACGUGUCUCGAUUUCGACAUAAGCCAUCGAUCGUUUCAACAGCUGCACCAUCCUCCAGAGGCUGCAUUGCCCUUAUAAGAGCGCGGUGCGCUUCUUACCCGGGCGCUUAGAAUCUUAUAAUUGUGGCGCGAGAAAAAGGAAAAUGGAUCGCGCGCAAUCGCGGCGCGGGGAUAUUCCUGAAAGUUUAAGUAACCGCGGCGGCGAUAAAGGUAAUCGCGGUAUCGCCAAUUCAUCGACCUCUUCCGCGCAGCGGCAACAAUUUGCCCCGGCUCUCGCCGCGCGCCGCCCGUGAUUGCAGUCUGCAAUUAAGUUUUCCACACGCCCGUCGCACCCGGCAAUCAGGCGCCGCGCUUUAGAGAGUGCCUCUUGAGGACAUCCUAGAUUUAGCUAAUUCGUCCGUUAAUAACAUUCCAGCUCACCCGCGGUGCGCGCUAAUUACACACGUUCGCGAUAUAUACGAACACGUACGAACAAUACGAAGCACCAGAUUGCCGGGCAAUUAGCGAUGAUACCCGUGCGCGAUCGAGCGCAUGCUCGGAUGUGUGCGCGCAUCGCGAGAAAUCGCGCUAUCGAAUCGAACAUUAAUAAGAAGCUGUGUUCCCAUCGCCGCGAUCGCGCGUGAAUCAUCCUCUAUUCGCCGCGCGAUCGCACACACGAGCGCACGCACACCGCUCACCGUUUCCAGUAGAUUACCAGAAAUUUAUGAGAUCGAGCAUAUCGAAGGCAAGUAAGUCGUCGAAACUCGGCGCGCCGCGCGCGGACGAGAUUUAUGGGACUCUCUCGGCUGCUGCUGCUGCUGCUGCUGCUGCAACGGCUAACAUAAUGUAAUAUGCAUGCAUCACACCGUACCUGACGUACGUCCUUCUCAGUUAUUAAUUCCGACGGACUUCGCUUCGCCUCUUUCGCGUUCGUAUGCAAUGAGGGUUGCGCAAAAGUCAAUGCCUAUUAUACGCCGAUAAGAUUAAUAAACUAUGGCAUGAGUGCACUUGUCACGGAGCUGAUAGACGUCGGCCAGAGAGAGAGAGAUUAGAACGAAAAUUCCAAGCCGAGAUCCGCACGUGCAUGGUGUGCGUGCUGUGUGUGAUUGCAGAAGGUCUCGUGUGAAUUAUAAAGGCGAGAGAGGCGACAAAAUCGGCAGAGUUAAUCGUGCAUUCUCUCGUAAUGUAAAAUGACGAGAGGGUAAACAACCCGUCCGAAAAAUGAUCGAUGCAAAAGGAAAAAAAAAAGGAGAAUAUUCACGAGGCUGCGCUGCCUCGACCACGGAGCCUCCUCUGUACCUUCGGAUAAAAAAGCACCGCGCGCGCCAGGAUGACGCAAUAAAUGUCAUCUGCGCCUGUCGUUUUUCUCCGUCUUUCCGUUGGAAUCAUUCUUUUAUGCUCAUUGUCGCCGUCACUCCUUUCCCAGCGGGAACGAGGAGCGACAGUUAGCAUCGCCGCGCCCAGAUGUGGUACAAUGCACAUAGAUGUAAUAUACCACAGGCACUAGCCGAUCGUGAAUUAUUGAUGGCUUUAUCCAGGGGCUCUUGGAUGGUACCAGGUGGCCAAGUUCCGCCUUGUUCCGAGCGGAGGUGAAUCGACAGUCGAAGCGAGAUGGCGAAUAAACUCGCUCGCAGAGAGUGGUCGGAUGAGGCAACGGGAGAAAGGCAGAUCCGCGGAGAAGGACCGGAGAGAAAGAGAGAGAGAGAGAGAGGGAGUUGGUGUUUAGUUUACGGCGUGGCGAUGUUUGACUAAUGUUCCGCAAUUUCAGCUUUUGUUGUUGCCGGGCCCCAGAUCGCCCGCUGCGACUAUUGAAGAGGGGCAGAGAGCAGUGAGUCUGAUGGUUAACCGACCCUCGAAUUUUCGACUCCUCCGUAACCACUCCUGUCGGCGAUCCGACCAGCCGGGAUUGAGGUUUUACUUACAGCAUUUAACGGUUAUAUAUGGGCUUAUAUAUGGCACGGGUGGUAUAAUAGUUUCUUGUAACGCACUAUUGGCAUUCAACGCGCUGCUCGUCCACCCGGCGUUACUGGGGUGGAAUAAUUACGACGAUAAUAUCGCAACACCUCCCGGUACGACAUUCGCCUCUAAACCCGCGCUUGAAAGUGAGCACUGCCCUCACGAGUAAGUGCGCAAUAAAUUAUCCCGAUUGUAACGAAAACUGUCGCCCGUUCAGCCGAUAGCCAUGCACUUGCGCCGUUAUUGUUAAUUACAAGUAUAAGCGGCUCUAAUGCCUAUACGCACGGUGGGACUAAAAUCAACUGUCGCGUCGAUUACGUUUAUUGUGACGUGCCGCGAAAAUAAACUCAUGUAAACUUCAUUUCGCAAAAUCAAUAUUUUUUCAUCGUGCGCUUUGAACGGCUACUCGAUAUCCAAUUAACGGGCCAAUCAAUCCCGAGGGAAUGAGAACUAAUAGUUUAGCAUUACAACUGUAUCAGUGGACGGUGGAAUUGUCACACUAAAUCAUUCGAGAUAUUAAUAUUCCUAAGUCAAUUAAUGAUUCACAUUCGUUGCGCGCUUGUAAAUCGUGCACGCGGCCAUUUCCAGAUAUCCCCAUAGAAUAUAUGGGCACGAUGAAAUAAAUUGUUAUUUACUGUUAUUUAUAUAUCUCUUUCUCUCUUUCGAAUUUGCUGUACUUUUCCAGUAUUUGCUGUACUUUCGCGCCAAUAAAAUUAAACUCUGCCUCGCCACAGAGGCAAAAAUAACAUAUUCAUAAUAAUACGAGCACGUUAACGUGCACACUAUUCUUUUAUCGAAAAACCUCUCGUCGAGCAUCAAAAUUCGUAGGUAAAUAAAAUAAUAAAUAUACAAGGAAUUACGCAAUACGUGAUAUAUAUCACGUAUUGAAAGAGAAGACGACUAUUCCUAUUCCUUAUCAAUCGGAUAAGUUGUAUUUUCGAUACGUUCAUACAUUAGUCAUCAUAUGUUAGUUUUCCCGCAAGAUCUCACAUUUCUUGAUCUUCGACACUUCGUUCUUACAUGCCGAACGUUAAACGUCUUUAUAAUGAGGGGAAAAGAAUCGGUAAAUUGUGAUGCAAUGUGAACAUUUUAUCGAAAGGAAUAAAAAAAAGAGAAGGAGCAAAGAGAGAGAGAGAGAGAGAGAGAGAGAGAGAGAGAGGAG